rnacentral:snRNA from 1 species
CACGCUGGGACUCGCAUCAGAUCGUAUAAAUCUUUCGCCUUUUACUAAAGAUUUCCGUGGAGAGGAACAAGCACGAGUGUCGUGAAAUUUUUUGAGGCUCCGCUUUGGCGGAGCU